rnacentral:rRNA from 1 species
CGGAGGAUCCAAGCGUUAUCCGGAAUCAUUGGGUUUAAAGGGUCCGUAGGCGGGUUUAUAAGUCAGUGGUGAAAGCCCAUCGCUCAACGAUGGAACGGCCAUUGAUACUGUAGAUCUUGAAUUAUUAGGAAGUAACUAGAAUAGUGUAGUGUAGCGGUGAAAUGCUUAGAGAUUACAUGGAAUACCAAUUGCGAAGGCAGGUUACUACUAAUGGAUUGACGCUGAUGGACGAAAGCGUGGGUAGCGAACAGGAUUAGAUACCCUGGUAGUCCACGCCGUAAACGAUGGAUACUAGCUGUUCGGAGCAAUCUGAGUGGCUAAGCGAAAGUGAUAAGUAUCCCACCUGGGGAGUACGUUCGCAAGAAUG